rnacentral:rRNA from 1 species
GACGAACGCUGGCGGCGUGCCUAAUACAUGCAAGUAGAACGCUGAAGGAGGAGCUUGCUCUUCUGGAUGAGUUGCGAACGGGUGAGUAACGCGUAGGUAACCUGCCUGGUAGCGGGGGAUAACUAUUGGAAACGAUAGCUAAUACCGCAUAAGAGUAGAUGUCGCAUGACAUUUGCUUAAAAGGUGCAAUUGCAUCACUACCAGAUGGACCUGCGUUGUAUUAGCUAGUUGGUGAGGUAACGGCUCACCAAGGCAACGAUACAUAGCCGACCUGAGAGGGUGAUCGGCCACACUGGGACUGAGACACGGCCCAGACUCCUACGGGAGGCAGCAGUAGGGAAUCUUCGGCAAUGGACGGAAGUCUGACCGAGCAACGCCGCGUGAGUGAAGAAGGUUUUCGGAUCGUAAAGCUCUGUUGUAAGAGAAGAACGAGUGUGAGAGUGGAAAAGUUCACACUGGACGGU